rnacentral:snoRNA from 1 species
GAUCAGUGAUGAAAAUAGCCAAAUCUGAGCGUCAGGGGGCCUUUUGGUCUGCUUGGUGCAUGAUCUCUAUAGUUCUGAGA